GCCUUGGUGGCGGAAUUGGUAGACGCGCUGGAUUCAAAAUCCAGUGAUAGCAAUAUCGUGUGGGUUCGAUUCCCACCCAAGGUA
rnacentral:tRNA from 3 species